CCAGCGGCAGUGCUGCAUAGCUAUGUACGGACGGGAUAACCGCUGAAAGCAUCUAAGCGGGAAACCCACCUCAAAACGAGCAUUCCCUUGAGAACCGUGGAAGACGACCACGUUGAUAGGCCGGGUGUGGAAGUGCAGUAAUGCAUGCAGCUUACCGGUACUAAUCGUUCGAUCGGCUUGAUUGC
rnacentral:rRNA from 1 species